GUGGAGAAGCAGGACACGUGAGCGACCAUCCAGUUCCACUCCCGCUGGCUCGCUGCUGGAGCUCCCGGCGGCUUGGUGAGUUUGGGUGGUCGUUCAUGUGUCCGCCCUCUCCACCG